rnacentral:rRNA from 1 species
CCGGCCGCCAGCGGCGCUCGCAAAGUUCGGAUCCGCAAGGACCGGGCCAGCGGGACGUCCGAGUGGCAGGGUGCACUUUCUCCGCGGUCGAGUGCUACGACCGGUUUCGAGGCGGUCAGAAGCCCGGCGGAAAGGUAGCGCCGCCCUUCGGGGUGUCGUGUUAUAGGCCGCCGCGGUGGACUCGCCGCGAGACCGAGGACGCUUGCCGCGCCGAGCGGUCCCGGGCCGUCUUGGGAGGUUCGACCUCGGCUGCACUGCUCCGCAGAGCACCGUAACCGCCGCCCUAGCACGGGUCCGGAGACUGCCGGCGCCUCGGGUCAGUAGCG